UACGGGGGGGGCAAGCGUUGUUCGGAAUUACUGGGCGUAAAGAGCGUGUAGGCGGCCAAGCAGGUCCGUUGUGAAAACUGGAGGCUUAACCUCCAGACGUCGACGGAAACCGCGUGGCUAGAGUCCGGAAGAGGAGAGUGGAAUUCCUGGUGUAGCGGUGAAAUGCGCAGAUAUCAGGAAGAACACCAAUGGCGAAGGCAGCUCUCUGGGACGGUACUGACGCUGAGACGCGAAAGCGUGGGGAGCAAACAGG
rnacentral:rRNA from 1 species